rnacentral:ncRNA from 2 species
AUUUCGCCCCGUGGUGAUUUGUCCGACCGGCUUGCGGCCACGAUAAACAAGCGCUAAAGAGGCACGCAGCCAGGGCUU